UACGUAGGGCGCAAGCGUUGUCCGGAAUUAUUGGGCGUAAAGAGCUCGUAGGCGGUUUGUCGCGUCUGGUGUGAAACUCGAGGCUCAACCUCGAGCUUGCAUCGGGUACGGGCAGACUAGAGUGUUGCAGGGGAGACUGGAAUUCCUGGUGUAGCGGUGAAAUGCGCAGAUAUCAGGAGGAACACCGGUGGCGAAGGCGGGUCCCUGGGCCGUAACGUGACGCUGAGGAGCGAAAGCAUGGGGAGCGAACGAGGA
rnacentral:rRNA from 1 species